rnacentral:rRNA from 1 species
AGUAACACGUGGGUUACGUGCCCCGAUGAUUGGGACAACCCGAGGAAACUCGGGCUAAUACCAAAUGUGCUCGUGUCCGUGAUGGACUCGAGGAAAGGAAGCUUCGGCCUCCGCAUCGGGAUCGGCCCGCGGCCCAUUAGCUAGUUGGUGGGGUAAUGGCCUACCAAGGCGACGAUGGGUAGCUGGUCUGAGAGGACGAUCAGCCACACUGGGACUGAGACACGGCCCAG